ACCCCUCCAUCUCACCGCCCCCCCGCGCCUCGUUUUCUCCUACUAGCUGCGGUCGCCGCUCGUUACUGUUCACUCUCCCUCCAGAUCUGGGGCCUAAUUUAUUGGAGGGUGGGUGAAGGCGCGCUUCCAAGGGGUGCUGCCUAGUUCGUACGACAUGCUGAGUGCCGCCUGAGCAUCCGAAUGAUAUUGUCUGCGCAAUGGCAGCAUAUUCAGGUGUCUGGUGCUCCAAGCUGUGGGAUUGUCCGGGUGAAUUUUUGGUGUCAGGCGACCAGACUGUAGUGUAUUGGAGAACGCCAGCUGCUCUUAUGCUUGUGUCAUCUUGUUUUUCGAUGGAUUAUCGGAAUUUGCUAGUGAAAGUGUUGUUAUGUCAUCUCACUGGGUGGCAAGUUGUUUACUUGUUUUCAUGUUUACAACCGUUGGAGGUGAUUGUGACCAAUGCAGUUGUUUUGUUGUUUC